rnacentral:lncRNA from 1 species
GGCACCUUCCCUGCAGCCUAGCCGCGGCGUGCGUCGUGCCCAAAAAGAAGAGGCAGAACAGACAGUAUUUGCCAGGGGUUACACUGCAGAAGCCUGAGAAGCUUUACAACACCCACCGGUGGCGCGCGGGUGGGCUCGAGAGUUCUCUUCAUCCACGUGUCUGCUUCGGCGAGGCGAACCCUGGGAGAGUGGUCUUCCCUCAGAAAGAGGUGUAUUCAGUCACCCCUCCUUUGAGACCUCCCUCAUUCCCCCCUUCUUGCACCUUCCCCAGGGUUCCAAAAGCGAAGCAAAAAUCUUCACAGAACACAUUACCAUUUCCACUCUCAAUCCGGUAUGAAAUGAUCUAACUUCUCCAUACUCUUGGCACACAUAUCCCUCAACUUUGGUUACUGGUGCUCAAACAGACUUAGUUAUAUCGCAGAUCCACCUACCACCGAGGGCAGAGACCUACUAGACAAUUUAACUGAUGCGGUAAAUCUUAUGAACAGAGAACGAACCAAAGGCUGACCACGGAGGAAAAAAGAAAAUAACACCUGUUCUUCCCACCUGUUUUCCCCGCCCUCAUUUCUGCACUUACUAGCCACCGGUCUUUGUUUACCAAGUUCCCACUCCCGUACGGUUCACUUCCUCGCCUUCCAUACUAAACUCGCGCGCGGUGCUGCUUAAACAACUUGCCCGGAAAUUACAAGCUAAAAAAGACGUUUACACAGGUGUCAAAAAGCUGCACACAGCUCCUUAAAAAGCGACGUCAGCACCGUUCCCUCAGAGUUUUUUGAACCCCGAGACCUGAGCUCUAAAAUGCAAAGCGCACAAGCAGAGCUCUCGACCUAAGCCCCGCGCCGCGCUGGAAGUCAUCACGCGGAGCGUACCAUGCGGUGCAGCACCCCACGCACGCGAGGGCUGGGCCGCGCCAAGGGCGCUUCUCACCCCGCCCGCCUCGUGGCCGCUCUCUCUGGCGUCGAUGUUACCAGUGAGUUCGCUGCGCGACGCGGAAGUGAGGCCGGGAACGCGCGCGAGGUGACAUGCGCAGCCUCGCUCAGGGGGCCACAGGCGCGCGCCAAAGGCGCCCCGCGCAAGGCCCGGCCUGGCUGGGGCGUGCGAAGAUCGCACAGAAGAACGCUUCUCACGCUGUUCAAAUCCACAAGCGCUUCAAACUCUCGAGAAACUCCAAUCGGGCCAAUACUAAAGAGACGCCCUCCACCCAGGCCCGAGAGUUACCGUGCGGGGCGUGGCCGGCCUCACCCGGAGUCCUUCACAUCCCGCUGGGGGCGGGUUAUUCUGUUCGGUUCGCACACCGUGUGUCCGCUCCAGCUGAAGAGCCUGCGCGCGCACCGGACGUCCACGUCACCGCGCACGCGCUCCUACCCGCUCAGAGCCCACCGCGCAAGCGCAAAAGGAGGCGCGAGCAGCACCUCCCUCGCCCCUCCCCCAACACCAGGAGGCCAAACGGCCCCGGAGCAGCGACAAGACCCUUGGGACCCGCCCCUGGAGCUCAAGCCGCUGGUUUUCCGGGUCCCAGAAACCGAUAAAAGGCUAAUGAAGCUUCCAGAAUCAAGAAAGGUUUGGAUAGCGCCAGACCGUCGGGAAACGUUGAAGAAAAGACGGAGACGAGUGGUCGAGUCUGCAACAUCCACAAAAGAAGAACACUAAGAAAGGAGACCGAAAACUCCACUACCAAAUGGGAAAGGAAGAAGAGUUGCCACUACUUGCCUGAUAUAAAUAUGAAAGAUGUCCUAAUAAAACAGUAAAAAGUGGAAACAAGAAUUUCGCAUCACAGAGUAUUAUCUAAGCUUUUAUGCCUUGAUCCUGCGUUUUCAGUUUUUGUUUGGUCAAGAUAUUUAAGCUAUGAAGUGCAAAGGGAAAAUUGCUCAAUAUCUGUUAUGCCAGGCAGAUGCUGAACUAAUAAUUAAAGAACAAUAUUUCUCCCAACCAAACAUCAAAAUUAUUUCUUCUUCCCUACUCCUUAUCAGGCACUCUUCUGAGCUACUGACACUCAAGUUUUUUUAAAAAGGGAGAGUUGUUCAAAGUGAGAGCGAAGAGGCAAAAUAGAAGUCCGUAGUAAGAGCAGAAAUUGGUCCAUGUUUCCGAACUGUAUUCUUUCACUUUCAGAAGAAUUAGCAAGUACUGAGAACAUAUUAAUUACUAGAUGACUUAAUACAAAAUACUAUGAAGAAAAAUGAGAGAGUUGAAAGAAAGGAGCCAAGGAGAUCCUUAUCCCACCAAGACUGAUCAGAGCUGGACUCCAGGCAUGUUAGGAAGAAGGGUCUUUUUUCUUUCAUUCGGCUCUCCCUCUGCCACACAAUGGGAAGAAACUGCUGGAAUUAGUAUGGACUGGAAAAUGUGUAGGUUAAAGAUUAGAGGCUUCUGAAGUUCCUCUGAAACCCCCAUUCAGGCAUGGUCAACAAGAGCAUCACAAGCACAACAAAUGAGUAAUACACAAGAUUAUAUAUAGAUAGAUAUACUCUUCCCUGACCCCAAAAAUCUUUUCCCACCUUGUCAGAAUCUCCCACUCUUCCAAGAAUGCCUUCCUCUCAAGGGUGUUAAGUUUCCUCAUACAAACUUAAAGGCAGAAAUAAAAUAUGUUGACUUAGCAUUAAAGCAUCUGAUUCUAAGAUGUAAAUGACUGAUUACCAGUUAACCACCACACCCAUGGUAGUUACAUCCCAAAAGAUACAAGUUAAUAUAAGUGAUAUCUCUCAUUGGAGAAUCUCAAAGGAUACCCUGGAAGACAGGGAAAGUGAAGAUUUUCUUUCUGUCUCCCUACAACAAGCAAACAUUAUGAAAUGCCAGAUCUUUUAAAACCACUACCAUAUUGUGAAGAUUCAGCACUGGAUCUCCUAGUGGAAAAAAUAAACUAUGCAUAGUAGUUCAAAGUAGGGUCUGCCUACCCUGUAAAGGUCUAGAGAUGUACUACCAAGAAUCUGGGUGGCUCAGUCAGUUAAGUAACUGGCUCUUGAUCUAGGUGCAGAUCAUGAUCCCAAGGUUGUAGGAUCAAGCCCCGAGUCAGGGUCCACACUGAGCAUGGAGCCUGCUUGGAAUUCUCUUUCCUCUCUGCCCUCCCCUGCUCCUUUGUGCCUGCUUAUGCUCACACUCUCAAAAAAAAAAAUGGGGGAGCGGGCACCUGGGUGGCUCAGUCAGUUACCCAUCCGACUCUUGAUUUUGGCUCAGAUCAUGAUCUCACGGUUCACUUUUAGACAGGAGCCUACUUGGGAUUCUCUCCACCCUCCACCCCCUUCCCUGCUUGUGAUCAUGCACCCUUUUCUCUCUCUCAAAAUAAAUGAAUACACAUUUUUUUUAAACCUGAGAAUUUGUUAUGUUGUUUUUAUUUAGUCUAAAACUGAUAUUGCCACACAAUUUCAGUGACCCAUUUUUUUUAACAUGCUAGUACCAAGUAACCACUUCUUUCUUUGCUUUUUCAAGUACCCUCUUAAAUGGCUAAACUCUUAACGCAGUGUUUCUCAAUCUUGG